GUUCCUAACAUUAGUAGUAGCUUGAAGCUCCAAGCCUAGAGUUCUGAGCACACUUAGACUAACUUUUCUGUCAAGAAGGGCUACUCUUUAGAAAAUAUUGGACUUUCUACUGAAAGAUAAGGAGUGUGCCGCUAAGCACAUUUUUCACUGUAGUGAGUCUUGAGAAAAAUACUAAAUAAGGGCUGUGCUCUGUGAAGGACUUCCUUUGGAGCUCUAAUGGGGAUCAUCACAGAGUCUCUCCAGUGCAAGCGACCUUCAGGUGACAGUGUUUGCUUGACUGAUUGAAAUCAGUGAGAAAACAUUUUGGACAUUUUGUGACACCUUACACAAACAAAGAAACACAGAUGGGGUUUGCAUCAUGGAUCAACUGAAGUCUGGGAUUUAACUCUCAUUUUUAGAGUUUUAAAACUGAAUGAAACUGAGAAAUUUAUCAUCAGGUGCGUUUAGUACUGAUUUGUAAUUUGUGAAGCUUCAUGCAGAACUUCACUUAAUUUCUCUCAAGAAAUAUCCCACCACAAGGGAUGAAGAAGUUUAUACCAAUGGUUCCAAAUAAAUCCCUUCAUCAUAAAUAAUUAAGUAAAACAAAUAAAUAUUUUUUGGCAUAUAAAAAUUGAAAUAUUUUCCCAUGGCUUGAGAUAAGCAGUUCUUAUAAACUAAAUUAUCUACCUGUCUG